GACCUCAUAAAGUGCGUCGUAGUCCGGAUUGGAGUCUGCAACUCGACUCCAUGAAGUCGGAAUCGCUAGUAAUCGUGGAUCAGAAUGCCACGGUGAAUACGUUCCCGGGCCUUGUACACACCGCCCGUCACACCAUGGGAGUGGGUUGCAAAAGAAGUAGGUAGCUUAACCUUUGGGAGGGCGCUUACCACUUUGUGAUUCAUGACUGGGGUGAAGUCGUAACAAGGUAACCGUAGGGGAACCUGCGGUUGGAUCACCUCCUUACCUUAAAGAAGC
rnacentral:rRNA from 1 species